rnacentral:rRNA from 1 species
GACAGAGGGUGCAAACGUUGCUCGGAAUCACUGGGCGUAAAGGGCGUGUAGGCGGGCGUGCAAGUCAGGCGUGAAAUCCCUGGGCUUAACCGAGGAACGACGCAUGAAACUGGCAAGCUAGAGUACCAAAGAGGGGGGUGGAAUUCCUAGUGUAGAGGUGAAAUUCGUAGAUAUUAGGAAGAACACCAGUGGCGAAGGCGGCUCACUGGCCCGGUACUGACGCUCAUGUGCGAAAGCGUGGGGAGCAAACAGG